GUGGGUGUAGCUCAGCCGGCAGAGCACCUGACUGUGGCUCAGGGGGCCGUGGGUUCAAAUCCCAUCACCCACC
rnacentral:tRNA from 1 species